UACGUAGGGUGCAAGCGUUGUCCGGAAUUAUUGGGCGUAAAGAGCUCGUAGGCGGUCUGUCGCGUCGGCUGUGAAAUCCCGAGGCUCAACCUCGGGUCUGCAGUCGAUACGGGCAAACUAGAGUAUUGCAGGGGAGACUGGAAUUCCUGGUGUAGCGGUGAAAUGCGCAGAUAUCAGGAGGAACACCGGUGGCGAAGGCGGCUGUCUGGGCCAGUUCUGACGCUGAGGCGCGAAAGCGUGGGGAGCAAACAGG
rnacentral:rRNA from 1 species